UACGGAGGGAGCUAGCGUUGUUCGGAAUUACUGGGCGUAAAGCGCACGUAGGCGGCUUUGUAAGUUAGAGGUGAAAGCCCAGGGCUCAACCCUGGAAUUGCCUUUAAGACUGCAUCGCUUGAACAUCGGAGAGGUAAGUGGAAUUCCGAGUGUAGAGGUGAAAUUCGUAGAUAUUCGGAAGAACACCGGUGGCGAAGGCGACUUACUGGACGAUUGUUGACGCUGAGGUGCGAAAGCGUGGGGAGCAAACAGG
rnacentral:rRNA from 1 species